rnacentral:lncRNA from 1 species
GUAAUGAACUUUGUAUACGGUUGUCAAGAUGUCACAAAAGUUACUUUCCGUAAAGUCAUUCAAAAUAUUUGCAUUCAGGUUGUUUUAUUUUCACAUUGUACAAUUGUAAACAAUGCAACUUGCAAACAAUCGUUUCUGAAACGACCAUAAGUCAAGCUGUUACGUCAUUUAGGAGGUCUCCUUAUAAACUGCUACUUUUUUUUGCCCGACAUAGAAAAAAUUUGGGAAAAAUUACAAAAAUCGAGAAAUGAAUUGUCAAUCGAUUAAGACCAUUCCCAAAGUGGCACACCUAAAUUUGACAUUUAGACGCAACUUCAAAGUUGGAUGUUAUAUGACGGGGUUUUGUUAAUUAAUUUACGCAUCGAACACACCCGUCCUAUAUAUGUAACAUCACAGACUUUUAAGUGAUUAAAACUG